CUGGUCUGAGAGGAUGAUCAGUCACACUGGAACUGAGACACGGUCCAGACUCCUACUUGGAGGCAGCAGUGGGGAAUAUUGGACAAUGGGCGAAAGCCUGAUCCAGSCAUGCCGCGUGUGUGAAGAAGGUCUUCGGAUUGUAAAGCACUUUAAGUUGGGAGGAAGGGCAGUUACCUAAUACGUAAUUGUUUUGACGUUACCGACAGAAUAAGCACCGGCUAACUCUGUGYCAGCAGCCGCGGUAAUACAGAGGGUGCAAGCGUUAAUCGGAAUUACUGGGCGUAAAGCGCAGCGUAGGUGGUUUGUUAAGUUGAAUGUGAAAUCCCCGGGCUCAWCCUGGGAACUGCAUCCAAAACUGGCAAGCUAGAGUAUGGUAGAGGGUGGUGGAAUUUCCUGUGUAGCGGUGAAAU
rnacentral:rRNA from 1 species